UUUUUGGCAGGAAUUUAUUCUGGUAUUCUGUUAUUAAGAAUACAUAUGUUGAAGGUACCUGGAGAGGCUUAAUUAAGGUUCAUUGGUGGAGGAGGGGGCACCACUACACUCUGGGACUUCACAGGGUUUCAAUAGGUCAUAUUGAUUUUUCCUGGGGCCCAUGCAGUUUCAGAGCCAUCCUCAGAGUCCUGUUUGUCUUCAGGAUCUUUUACAUGUUCUCCAUGAGGCUCAGUGCUGUUCUCAGAGUGUCAGUUGCUCAGUGCUUUGUCCAGCCUCAGUGUAAGGCUCUGAAUCUUCCCAAAGGAAUCACUAGGUUCAGGCUCUUUGGGGCUUUUUUAAUAAAUCCCAGGGCCUUUCCCAGGGCCUCUGUGGAGCUAAAGUGCCAUUGCCAGCAUCACAGUGGUGCUUAGCAUCUUCCCCAGAGGUUGCCUGUGUGUCAGGGCCUUCCCAAGAGUCUUAGUAAGGCCUAGGGCCUACCCUACUGAUUCAGUGGCUUAAAGAACUCUGCACACUCUGUAGUGGUACUUAGAUUCUUCCACAGUUUCCUGGGUAAAGAAUGGCCUUCACCAGUGUCUCAGUGGGGAAUAAUUCCUUGCGCAGUGUGACAUUAAAAUUCAGGGAAAUUCCUCUUGUCACUGUGGUGCUCCGGGCCUUCUGCAGUGUCAGUGGAUUUCAGGGUCACCACAUGUUUCUUAGUGUAAGCUCAGGGCUUUCUCUAGAGUCUCGGUGUGGCUUAGUGCUUACCCCAAUGGGUUACAGGGGCUCAGGGAAUCUUUCAGUUUUUUUUGUUUGUUUGUUUUUGUUUUUGUUUUGUUUUGUUUUGUUUUUUUGUCCCUGGGUCUUCCAUGAAGCUAAAGGCCUUCAAUAGCCUCUCAGUGGGGUUUGUGGACUUCUUUAGCAUCUAAGUUCAGUUGUUUUAGUCAUCUUUUUUGUUGGUUUAAUGUAAGAACCUGAAUAAAACAACUGUGGAGGAGGAAAAGAUUAUUUGAAGGCGCAGAGUUUUAGAGGUCUUGGUGCACAGAAGACUGGCUCCACUCCUCAGGGCUCGAGGUGAAGCAGAAAAUCAUGAUGGAAGAGUAAAGCAGCUCACAGGAUGAAUAGGAAGGAGAGAGCAGGAACUCUACUCAUAAGAUAUAAAAUAUAUACCCCAGGCUGGGGCUGUAGCUCAGUGGCAGAGUGCUUGCCUUGCACACAUGAGGUACUGAGCUCGACCCUUAGCACCAUAUAAAAAUAAAUAAAAUAAAGACAUGCUGUCCAUCUAUAACUACAAAAAUAAAAUAAAAUAAAAUAUAUACCCCAAAGAAAUGCCCCCAAAUUUCUACCUCUCCAGUCAUACCUUACCAGCCUUCAGUUAUCACUCAGUUAAUUCCUUAUUGAAUUAAUGCUCUUAGGACCCAAUCAUUUUUUUCUCUGAACCUUUUUGAAUUGUCUCCCAUGUGAGCUUUUGGGAAACACCUCAUAUCCUAAACAUCACAUUCCACACCUGUCCCCCAAAAGCUCACAACCAUCUCACAAUGCAAAGUACAUUUUGUCCAUUCCCAAGAGUUUCUAUGGUCUCAACAGUUCCAAGACUGCUCAGAGUUCAAGUCCAAAGUCUUCUCUGAGGCUCAAUGCAAUUUUUCAUUGUGAUAAAAUGAAAAGCAAUUUACUAUUACCCAAUAUAUAAUGGGUACAAAGUAAACAUUUCAUUCACAAAAUUAGGGGCAUAGAAAGAAGGGAUAGGAUCAGAGCAAGACCAAAAUCCAGCUGGUCAAACAGGUCCUGUAGUUCUGUGUCCACAUCUGAAACACAUGGCAUCAUGACGUUCUUCCCAAAGGUCUUGUGUAUCCCUACCCCUGUGGCCUUGUUGCUUGUAGCCCAAGUGGUUGUUUUGGGCUUGUCUCUGCUCAAUUCCUGCAGCUUUCCAAGAAUGAUGUCCCAUGUUACUGGCAUUUCUUAAUGAGGAGGGUUUGUCUCCACUGCAGCUUCAGUUUCCUCCUCAUAACUGCAGACUUUGACUUCUCAGGUGCCCACAGGGACUCCAAUCCUGUUGCCCUUUGUCUGGUUUCCCAGGCCUUCCUUUGAAACCAAGGAAGAACCCUCCAUAAAUCCCUAACUCCAGCAUCCUACAUUCAUGCAGAACAAGAACCUCAUGAUUGGUCCCAAGGCCUGCCACCAUGUUGAGCAAUAACCAAGAUUCUAGGGACCCUGGCUUCAGCAGCCUCUGAGUGUUUGGGUAGUGGAGCCUGUAGAAAACAUUUUCUAGCCCCCCUUGGGUUAGAAGGUUUCCCCUCUAGUCUCUUGUUAAGAAAAUUCUCACCUUGAGAUGAGUGUAGACUUGCCAGAUUUUGAGAAGUCCUUAAGCCACCUUUCUUAUUGUCUCUGUUCAAAGUCUUUAGCAUUUUUGUAGGGGUGGUAAUGACUUUAACAACUGCAACAUCCUUAGGCUUAGUUUUAUGAACUUUCAAGUUGAUUUUUUCCAAAUAUUUCUGCUCUGCUUUCUGCUCCUGAAUAUUACAAUAAAUUUGGCUAAAAGGUGCCAGCAAUGUCUCUGUCAUUGUCUGAAUGCUACGCUGCCUAGAUAUUUCUUCAAUCACAUAAGGAAGUCAUUUUUGGGGCUAGGAUUGUGGCUCAGUGGCAGAGCAUUCACCUAGCAUGUGUGAGGCACUGGAUUCAAUCCUCAGCACCACAUCAAUAAUUAAGAAAGGAAGGAAGGAAGGAAGGAAGGAAGGAAGGAAAGAAGGAAGGAAGGAAGGAAGGAAAGAAGGAAGGAAGGAAGGAAGGAAGGAAGGAAGGAAGGAAGGAAGGAAGGAAGAAUUGUGUUCAUCUACAACUAAAAACAAACAAACAAACAAACAGAAAGUCCAUCACUUCUAAAAUCGGCCCCAUUGAAAGUCUCAGGGCCUGGGCAAAAUGCAGACACUUCUCAGCCAGAACAUAACAAGAAUGACCUCAAUUCUAAAUUCCAAUAAAGUCCUCCAUUUCUAAACCUUCUUGAGCUUGGUCUUUACUGACCUGUGUACUGUUGCCAAUUGGUCUUCUGAGCUCCCACCAGAAUCAGCCAUUAAUCUCUGCUUACAACAAUCUAAAGCAUUUCCAUCUGCACUGCUACACAUCUCAAAAUUCCUCCCACCAAUUCCAAAAUGCUCAAAAUGCUUAUUAAACAUGAGUUUAAUAAGUACUUAGUCACAAAAAUUACUCACUUCUUGGUACAAUAUCUCUUUUACUCAGCUUUUUGCACUCCUGUGACUAAAAUAACCCACAAGAACAAUCACAGGGGAGGAAAAGUUUAUUUGGGGGCUCAUGGUUUCAGACAUCUUAGUCCAUACAAAGCUAGCUCCAUACCUGAGAGCUUAAGGCAAGGCAGGACAUCAUGGUUGUUAGGAUGGCCUUAGGCCUGAGCCUAAGCAACACCAUUUUAAAAAUUCCUGUUUGAAACCUGCAGUUUCACCAGACACACACACAGAGCCCUUCAGUGUGGCCACAAACAAGUUACAUACCCUCACCAUGAUAAACAGAGUGAAGCCCCUGGCAGGCUGUCUUCACCUGAUAAGAGAAAAAGUGGAGAAGAUCAGGGUCAGAUGUUUCUGAUCCCAGGUAAAUGAUGUCACUGAGAAAUCUGGUGGUAGCUGAUAAGGAUUGAAAGGGGGUCAAAACCUCAAAAUUUAGUAUAAAUAAUAGAGCAAAUGAACAGGGAUUCAGCCAGCUGAAACAAGGAUGCACUCAAGCUGGAGAGCCUGAUGAGGACCUGACAUCCCAUCACUUGUCAUCAUUUCCUGAGCCUCUGUGUAAUCCUCACCACUCUCAAACUCUACCACCUUGUUUGGACCUUGGUGAGAGACACAACUUCUCCCUAUGACCCUCUCCUCAACCAGUCAUCCACUCCAUGCCAGGAAACAGCCUGCCUUGGUUCCGGACCUGAUCACCGUGGUCUGAGUGAGAGUGCAUCUGCUGGACCUAAAGCCUAAGGCUUGCAGAUGAAAUGUCUGUCAUUAGACCAUCAUGAUUAAGUGUGUUUUUGCAGUGCUAUAAUUAAUCUAGAAUUGUUUGCUGUGAAUUAAUUAAUCUAGAAUUGUUUACUGGGAAUUGAUUAUGUCCAUUGCAGUGCCUAGCAUUAAGGAUUGUAAUUUUCUUGAUUAAAAACCUAUAAAAUGGAAUUUUAUUGAGUAUUUUGAGUGAAUAAAGCAUUGAAAGGGGCAGAAUAGUGUGGACAUUCUUAUUUCUCCCCUCGACUGCAUACAUCACAAUUUUGUCUCCUCGUGACAAUGGUAAAAGAGUGUGUCAGAGGGAAGAAACACACAUGGCCAAUGUAAAGCAGAAGAUAACUCCAUUCACCAGAUACAAAAUAUAUAUCAGAAUGCCAUGCCCCAAAAGUCCCAACUCCUCCUGACACACCUCAACAGCCUUCAGUGACCAUUCAGUUAAUUCAAAUGAGGGGACUGAACAACUGAGUAUAUUAAGGCUCUUAAGACACAAUAAUUUCUCCUCUGAACCUUCUUGCAUUGUCUCAUGUGUAAAGAUUUGGAGUACACCUUAUAUUAAAACUAUAACAAGACUUGUGGACCUUUCCCAGGGUCUCCUUCUAUCUCAGAGAUUUUUGAGAUCAACAAUGAAGCUCAUUGCUUUCUCAUGUUCAUUAGUGGUCCUCAGUGCCUUCCACAGAACCUCCAGAGUACUAAGGAUACACGGAAAUUCAGUGUGACUCAGAGCAAUGUCUCUAGGCAUUCAGGGUCUUCACAGGUAUCUAAUUUGGGUGCAAGACUCUUCCCAGUGUAUCAUUGGGAUUGAAAGAAUUUGCAGAUCUCUAAAGAGCCUCACAGCAUUUCAUACUGAUUCAGUGGAGUGUGGUGCCUUGCCCAGGGCAUCAGUGUAUUUCAUAGUCUCCUCCACUUUCACAGUCAUGCUCAGGAUGUUUUCCCCAUAGUCUUAAUGUUAUCUUUCUUUUCCUUGGGUAUUCAGGUGUGAUCUUAGACAUUCCUAGCAUUUCAGUGUGGUUCACUGAAAAAGAGACAGAAGCCCUGGUUAGGGCCUCUGGGG
rnacentral:lncRNA from 1 species